UACGUAGGGUGCAAGCGUUGUCCGGAAUUAUUGGGCGUAAAGAGCGUGUAGGCGGCCCGAUUAGUCCGCUGUGAAAGUCCAGGGCUCAACCCUGGAAUGCCGGUGGAUACUGUCGGGCUAGAGUCCGGAAGGGGCGAGUGGAAUUCCUGGUGUAGCGGUGGAAUGCGCAGAUAUCAGGAGGAACACCUAUAGCGAAGGCAGCUCGCUGGGACGACACUGACGCUGAGACGCGAAAGCGUGGGGAGCGAACAGG
rnacentral:rRNA from 1 species